rnacentral:rRNA from 1 species
CAGCCGCCACGGUAAUACGAAGGGUGCAAGCGUUACUCGGAAUUACUGGGCGUAAAGCGUGCGUAGGUGGUGGUUUAAGUCCGUUGUGAAAGCCCUGGGCUCAACCUGGGAAUUGCAGUGGAUACUGGGUCACUAGAGUGUGGUAGAGGAUAGUGGAAUUUCCGGUGUAGCAGUGAAAUGCGUAGAGAUCGGAAGGAACAUCUGUGGCGAAGGCGACUAUCUGGGCCAACACUGACACUGAGGCACGAAAGCGUGGGGAGCAAACAGGAUUAGAUACCCCAGUAGUCCCUGUCUCUUAUAC